rnacentral:rRNA from 1 species
AGGAUCAUUACCGAAUUGCCAACAUGAGUUGUUGCUGGCCCUCAAAUGGGGGGCACGUGCACGCUCUGUUCGCACAUCCACUCACACCUGUGCACCUUCUGUAGUUCUAUGGCCUGGGGGACUCUGUUCUCCUGCGCUGUGGUUCUAUANCUUUACACACACACACACUGUAAUAAAGUCUCAUGGAAUGUACACCGCGNUUAACGCAAUACAAUACAACUUUCAGCAACGGAUCUCUUGGCUCUCGCAUCGAUGAAGAACGCAGCGAAAUGCGAUAAGUAAUGUGAAUUGCAGAAUUCAGUGAAUCAUCGAAUCUUUGAACGCACCUUGCGCCCUUUGGCUAAUCCGAAGGGCAUGCCUGUUUGAGUAUCAUGAACACCUCAACUCUCAUGGUUCGCCAUGAUGGGCUUGGACUUUGGAGGUCUUGCUGGCCCUGUGGUCAGCUCCUCUCAAAUGAAUCAGCUUGCCAGUGUUUGGUGGCAUCACAGGUGUGAUAACUAUCUACGCCUGUGGUUUUCCGCCGGAUAACCUUCAGCAAUGGAGGUCCACUGGAGCUCAUAAACGUCUCUCCUCGG